rnacentral:rRNA from 1 species
UACGUAGGCAGCGAGCGUUGUUCGGAAUUACUGAGCGUAAAGAGUGUGUAGGCGGCGCUCUAAGUUCGGUGUGAAAUCUCUCGGCUUAACUGGGAGGGUGCGCCGGAAACUGGAGUGCUCGAACGUGGGAGAGGAAAGCGGAAUUCCUGGUGUAGCGGUGAAAUGCGUAGAUAUCAGGAGGAACACCUGCGGUGUAGACGGCUUUCUGGACCAUUGUUGACGCUGAGACACGAAAGCGUGGGUAGCAAACAGG